CGUAGUCAGCUGCAGAGAGCAGGAAGUGCGGGGAGAACCGCGAACACAGCACCGUGGCCCCGGACCCCUAGUGAGUCCCGGGCUCUCUACAUAGGAUUCUACUUGUCACAUUGCCUUAGAGACUACUUGUCACAUCGCCCAAGAGAUUGCUGAGAAAAUCCAACAACGCAAUCAGUAUGAAAGAAAUGGUGAAAGCACAACCAAGGUAAUACCAGGAGAGGGUUAGUAUUUAAAGUGGUUUUUUGGAGCUCUGAGUUCAGAAAACCGUACCCUGUCCAAGGCCCUGUGUGUACGUGUGCGUG
rnacentral:lncRNA from 1 species